ACCCGGUGGCUCCCUUUAAAGGGGAGGACUUGGCGGCAAGGGGGGGGGCUCAGGGGCCGACUCGGGAUCUAUUUUCAGUCGGUGGACACUUGCGGGGGAAGGUGCCUGGGUUGGGUCUCUGCGUAGGGGACCGGUGGGAACGGGGAGUGACGGAGCCCGGGAGCUGCACUGGGGAAGGCGCCAGGUCACGGCGCAGGUGGCCGAAUAGGAGCGCCGUGGGGAUGGCCCUGCGUCCCGGGUCCUUGGGCGGCCAGUCUUCCGAACCCCAGUGGAUUCAACCAGGCAGGGGGUACCCCGUCGUCGGCCAGUGUUUCUGUAAAGAGGACAUAGGAAAGAGAUGUGGACAACACCUGGAAACUUGACUGGAAGUUUUAUUCUGGAAGGUUGCUCACCCAACUUUUUGAAGAGUUUCUGACCUUCGGAAAAAGAUUUGCCUCGUUUUGCCAAGGAUCCAACCUGAAUUUAAGCAGCAUUCAAACAUAACUGGCCUGCCUGGCCAAAAGUACCUUAGGACUAGGUAAAAGAAGCCUAUCCAAGAAGAUCUGAGGACCAUCUCAUGAGAAAAUUGUGCAAAAAGAAUCAGGAGCCAUGGACCUAACCAGAGGGAAGGCUCCACAGUAAACAGAGUUCUCAUGCCUCCUGCUCCUUCCCAGGAUUUGUGCCUCGGGGUGUUCACCUAGGACCUGGAGUCAGCAGCAUUGAAGAGGACUGGAGAAAUGAGCGAGGGUCCCACGAAUGCAAUCAAGAUGAGACUUCAGUGGCUCCUGGAUUGGUCAGUUGUUAAGCAUCUGCCCGGCCUUGGGCGGGGCUCCCUGCUCGAUGGGACUCCUGCUUCUCCCUCUCCCGCUUCCCAUGCUUGUGUUCCCUCUCUCGCUGACUUUCUGUCAAAUAAAAUCUUUAAAAAAAGGGGGGGGGGGUGCGCCUGGGUGGCUCAGUGGGUUAAGCCUCUGCCUUUGGCUCAGGUUAUGAUCUCAGGGUCCUGGGAUUGAGCCCCACGUAGGGCGCUCUGCUUGGCAGGGAGCCUGCUCUUCACCUCCCCCGCCCCUGCCUGCCUCUCUGCCUACUUGUGAUCUCUCUCUCUGUCAAAUAAAUAAAUAAAAUCUUUUUUUAAAAAUGAGA